CGUGUCAAUCAGCAGCGAUUUCUUUUAGCUAGGCGGGACUUCGGCCGGGAAUAACAGUGCUGAAGCUCUGGUGUCUCCUGUAGUCACUACACGGUUAACUAGUUUAGUUCAGUGUUUUUCGUAAUGGGCCGUCUGAAACAUACGCGUCCAAAUAAGAGCAGAGGAGCCGAUUCGAGGGGGAAAGUAAACGUCGCAGCUCCCGGCCCGAGAAAGAGCCGCAGCAUGACUCCAAUGAGGACCUCUACAGAUCUGCCGUCAUAUUUACAUAAAACGCGGCGGAAUAAUGGCUUGGGCCUUCAAGGAAGAGGAGUAAUGAAGCUACAUGGAAGACGUUUCGAAGGCCGUAGAGUUUACAGUAAGGGAAUAGGGACUCCCAGCGCCAAGGACCCCAGCCAAGACAGCACAAGUAUGAUUAUGCCCUCUGGUGUGUCCAGCUUUUUGUUGGAUUGUAUGGAUUCGGACUCGGACACAGAGGAGACACUUCCUUCCAUUGAGCUGGUUCGCAAAGCUGGUAGUUAUGAUGAGGGUACAGGUUUGGUCAGUGAAGAUGAAGUACUGCACCGCCAUGUUAAGAAUUCGACUCUUCUCGACCUCAGUCACGCGAUGGAUAUAGCCAUGCAACAACCUCCAAACCUCUCCUCCAUUCUAGAGCUCUCACCUGUACUUCAUGGGCAAGCUGCAAAGGAGUGGUUUUGUCUGUCACCCCCUCAGCCUGUGUCACCUCUUAGCUCCUCACCUUUAACUACAUCAGCAUCAACAAAGAAUACAGCAGGAAGCGACUUCAAAACAUUUGGAGCUGAAGAAAAGACUCCUGAAACGAAGAGGGUUGUUGUUCUUUCUCCUGUUGUGAAAAGAAGGCCUCUGACUGGACGAGACAAGCCCAUAAAAUGCAGAAAGGUGACAUUCAACGACAUUGUGAGCACACGAGACAUAACAGUGCUUAAUCCUCAAGUGGAAUCUCAGAGCCGAGCCUGUGAUGUGCAGAAGACUAAACUAAGCGGGAACGCCUUGAGCGGCGUGAGGGAAGAGCUGAUGGAGCCCCAGGAGUUUUCCUCAGAGACAGCUAAGUUUUUUGACUUUGCUGAUGAAAAUGAGAAACAACUUUUCUUCCAAAGAUUGAAAAAGACUUACACCUUCCACUUCCCGACCAAACCGUAAGGGCUUCCUGACAGCUACACAUCCUUUCAGACCCAUAGCGCUAAGUCAUCUUCUCACAGUGGGAGGAUGGAGAGAAACACCUGUGGAUGUUUUCAGAUCUGAAGCAGCUUGAUUUUCUCCUCUCUCUCAGAGAUGAAACUUAAGUUCUGUUUAUCUGUUUAUCUGGACAAUGUUAGUCGUCUAUCAGGUCUUGCAUGGUUAUUAGGAGUCCCAUCUUUAUCUACAUCCUGUAGUCAUUUUUUUUUUUUUUAACGGUUUUGGAAACUCCUGUUUUUUUUCACUUUGACUUUCCUCAUCCUUCUGCAAGUGGAUUAUCUUAUAACUAAUUUACUCAGAAGUAUCUGUUGAAAAUUUUGACUGGAAAUUUAAUGAAUGAAAUGCAGUCUCACAUUUAUACUGUAUAUUGUGGCUAAUGGAAAGUACUAGAACUGUGCUAGUAUGUUUCAUGUGUUCAUUUAGCUGCUUCAGGUUAAAAUAUGGCUGUAAAGAAAUCUGCAUGUGCCAUAAAAACUCCUUAUCUGUGCACCAUUACUGUGUAUCAUUGGGGUCUGUUAGGACUAGAAUGGGAGAAAUCUCUUGCCUCUGAAGUACAUGUUGAGGGAAUGUGUUAUUUGCUACAAUAAGCUGUAAGCUGUACAUUUCUGCUUGUUUGUUCCCUCUAGAUUACCUUCACAGACUUUCCCCAGACUGAGGAUGUCAAAAGUUAAGUUUAUGACUUCAGCAAAGAAGACUGACGCACCAUGAGUUGAGAGUUCAGUGGAAUUCAAAUGAGUCAGAUUCUAAACAUGGAAGAGAGAACAUUUAUUUAUUGUGAUAAAAAGUUGACAGCGCUUCCUAAGAGAAAUGUUUCUCUACUGAAGCAGGGUUUUGAAAAUGGCCUGCAAUUAUUCUGAAUGAUGCUUUUUCAUUUGGAAAUAAUACAUUGUUUUGUGUCCUGUUGUCUUGAUUGUUAUAUUUUGCAUUUUUUAAGGAGAAAAAUGAAUUUUGAAAUGUCUUUAAAAUUAAUAUGUGGAUGUUCACUUGUCUUUUUUUUGUCUGACUGCUGGCGUAGUGGUGUCAUUGUGGAAAAAAAGAAUUUCCUGUAAGAGAAAAUGAAAUUACCAAGAUGAAUAAAUAAAAUUAUAAAAAUUAA